GACGAACGCUGGCGGCGUGCUUAACACAUGCAAGUCGAACGGAAAGGCCCUGCUUUUGUGGGGUGCUCGAGUGGCGAACGGGUGAGUAACACGUGAGUAACCUGCCCUUGACUUUGGGAUAACUUCAGGAAACUGGGGCUAAUACCGGAUAGGAGCUCCUGCUGCAUGGUGGGGGUUGGAAAGUUUCGGCGGUUGGGGAUGGACUCGCGGCUUAUCAGCUUGUUGGUGGGGUAGUGGCUUACCAAGGCUUUGACGGGUAGCCGGCCUGAGAGGGUGACCGGCCACAUUGGGACUGAGAUACGGCCCAGACUCCUACGGGAGGCAGCAGUGGGGAAUAUUGCACGAUGGGCGGAAGCCUGAUGCAGCAACGCCGCGUGCGGGAUGACGGCCUUCGGGUUGUAAACCGCUUUCGCCUGUGACGAAGCGUGAGUGACGGUAAUGGGUAAAGAAGCACCGGCUAACUCCGUG
rnacentral:rRNA from 1 species